GUGCUUACUUUGGCAUCACAUAUACUAAAAUUGGAACGAUACAGAGAAGAUUAGCAUGGCCCCUGCACAAGGAUGACACGCAAAUUCGUGAAGCAUUCCCUAUUUAA
rnacentral:snRNA from 1 species